rnacentral:snoRNA from 1 species
AGCACUUUAUUCUUUUGUUUUUGUCUAAUUUGGACAGAAGCUCAGAAGUCUUAGUGCUAAUAAUAAAAUGACUCUUUUGCAACCCACAACUAAUCACAGUAUGAGUUGUGUUACUUGUAAGAGUGGACAAUA